CCCCAGUGGCAUGCAAGGCUCAGUGUGGCAACCUGUAAACAGCAGAGGCCAGACGGGCAAAGUUGAGGCAACAGCCUUGGAGUGGUGAAGCAGGAUGCCAACAAGCAGCCCAAGAAGAUGUUGUGUGGGCUUUUGUUAGAAUGAGCAUCUGAGUAUUCCAAGCAAUGAGGGCUGCAGCAUCCAAUUCUGGACUGAGGAGGGGAGCAGAACAUCACAGUUCUUUUGGGGAGCAGGAGAGCAAUGUU